rnacentral:sRNA from 1 species
CUCCUUUGAUAGCCUGAAUGUACUAACUAAGGAGACAGAAAUAUGUAUAUAGAUGAAACAAUCAUUGCGGGCGUAAUUGUCGUUCUUGGAACUAUCGGGUUUCUAGGUGGUUUUGCAGCAUUUGUUUACAAAGAUGCGCACAAGAAAAAAUCUGUUUAGUUGUCAGAAUUAAGCAAGAAAUGGAACGUCAAGGUUUUGGCAUUCUAUUUCG